rnacentral:rRNA from 1 species
CCUACGGGAGGCAGCAGUGAGGAAUAUUGGUCAAUGGGCGGAAGCCUGAACCAGCCAAGUAGCGUGCAGGAUGACGGCCCUACGGGUUGUAAACUGCUUUUAUCCCGGAAUAACGCGCCUUACGUGUAAGGCUUUGCAUGUACCGUAUGAAUAAGGACCGGCUAAUUCCGUGCCCGCAGCCGCGGUAAUACUGAAGGUCCGGGAGUUAUCCUGAUUUGUUGGGUUUAAAGGGAUGGUAGGCCGCAUUUCAAGCGUGCGGGGAAAUGUCCGGGCGAAAACCGGGCCUUGCAGGGCGAACUGGCGUGCUUGAGUCCGCGGAAAGCAGGCGGAAUU